rnacentral:rRNA from 1 species
ACGGGGCCCGGCACAAGCAGCGGAGCAUGUGGUUUAAUUCGAAGCAACGCGAAGAACCUUACCUAGACUUGACAUCUCCUGAAUUACCCGUAACUGGGGAAGCUCUUCGGAGCAGGAAGACAGGUGGUGCAUGGUUGUCGUCAGCUCGUGUCGUGAGAUGUUGGGUUAAGUCCCGCAACGAGCGCAACCCUUAUCGUUAGUUGCUACCAUUAAGUUGAGCACUCUAGCGAGACUGCCCGGGUUAACCGGGAGGAAGGUGGGGAUGACGUCAAAUCAUCAUGCCCCUUAUGUCUAGGGCUACACACGUGCUACAAUGGUGAGGACAAAGAGACGCAAGACCGCGAGGUGGAGCAAAUCUCACAAACCUCAUCCCAGUUCGGAUUGCAGGCUGAAACUCGCCUGCAUGAAGCCGGAGUUGCUAGUAAUCGCGAAUCAGCAUGUCGCGGUGAAUACGUUCCCGGGCCUU